CAAUGAACCAAUUGUUUUACUAUUUAAAUGUGAAGCUUUUGAAAAAACAAAACUCUGGCCCAGCAUCUUCUUGUUUCCCAGUAAUCGGUGUAUCUCAGGGGAGGUGAAUGCAACAGUCUCAGGCAUCGCCACCACAUUUCGCAAAAAUCUGUCAGACCACAAAGGUCAUAUCCUUCAGAGCUGCUCCGACUGCCUGCUGUGGACGGACACCUUUCAAAAUGGAGACGUCACCGGUAGAUACAUCCUGCAGUUCACAAGGAAUGGAAAAAUUGAUCCUGAAGAUGUUGACAUUUUCAAG